rnacentral:rRNA from 1 species
AUACCCGCAGCCCAAGUGGUGGUCGAUUUUAUUGAGUCUAAAACGUUCGUAGCCGGUUCAUUAAAUCCUUGGGUAAAUCGGAUGGCUUAACUAUCCGAAUUCCGGGGAGACUGGUGAACUUGGGACCGGGAGAGGCAAGAGGUACUUUUGGGGUAGGGGUAAAAUCCUGUAAUCCUAAAAGGACCACCGGUGGCGAAGGCGUCUUGCUAGAACGGAUCCGACGGUGAGGGACGAAGCCCUGGGUCGCAAACGGGAUUAGAUACCCCGGUAGUCCAGGGUGUAAACGCUGCAGACUUGGUGUUGGGGACCCUUCGGGGGUGUUCAGUGCCGGAGAGAAGUUGUUAAGUCUGCUACUUGGGGAGUACGUCCGCAAGGAUGAAACUCAAAUGAAUCGGCGGGG